UAGAAUUCCACGUGUAGCGGUGAAAUGCGUAGAGAUGUGGAGGAAUACCGGUGGCGAAGGCGGCCUUCUGGACAGAUACUGACGCUGAGAUGCGAAAGCGUGGGGAGCAAACAGGAUUAGAUACUCUGGUAGUCCACGCUGUAAACGAUGUCGAUUUGGAGUUUGUUGCCUAGAGUGAUGGGCUCCGAAGCUAACGCGAUAAAUCGACCGCCUGGGGGGUACGGCCGCAAGGUUAAAACUCAAAUGAAUUGACGGGGGCCCGCACAAGCGGUGGAGCAUGUGGUUUAAUUCGAUGCAACGCGAAGAACCUUACCUGGUCUUGACAUCCCACAGAAUCUUGCAGAGAUGCGAGAGUGCCUUCGGGAACUGUGAGACAGGUGCUGCAUGGCUGUCGUCAGCUCGUGUUGUGAAAUGUUGGGUUAAGUCCCGCAACGAGCGCAACCCUUAUCCUUUGUUGCCAUCGGUUAGGCCGGGAACUCAAAGGAGACUGCCGUUGAUAAAGCGGAGGAAGGUGGGGACGACGUCAAGUCAUCAUGGCCCUUACGACCAGGGCUACACACGUGCUACAAUGGCGUAUACAAAGGGAGGCGACCUCGCGAGAGCAAGCGGACCUCAUAAAGUACGUCUAAGUCCGGAUUGGAGUCUGCAACUCGACUCCAUGAAGUCGGAAUCGCGAGUAAUCGUGAAUCAGAAUGU
rnacentral:rRNA from 1 species